rnacentral:rRNA from 1 species
UACGUAGGGUGCAGGCGUUAAUCGGAAUUACUGGGCGUAAAGCGUGCGCAGGCGGUUUGCUAAGACAGGUGUGAAAUCCCCGGGCUUAACCUGAGAACUGCGCUUGUUACUGGCAGGCUUGAGUGUGGCAGAGGGGGGUGGAAUUCCACGUGUAGCAGUGAAAUGCGUAGAGAUGUGGAGGAACACCGAUGGCGAAGGCAGCCCCCUGGGCUAACACUGACGCUCAUGCACGAAAGCGUGGGGAGCAAACAGG